GAUGAACGCUAGCGGCAGGCUUAACACAUGCAAGUCGAGGGGCAGCACGUCUUCGGAUGGUGGCGACCGGCGCACGGGUGCGUAACGCGUAUAGAACCUACCUUUUACAGGGGAAUAGCCCAGAGAAAUUUGGAUUAAUGCCCCAUAGUAUUAUUAGAUGGCAUCAUUUGGUAAUUAAACAUUUAUGGGUAAAAGAUGGCUAUGCGUUCUAUUAGCUAGAUGGUAAGGUAACGGCUUACCAUGGCGACGAUAGAUAGGGGUCCUGAGAGGGAGAUCCCCCACACUGGUACUGAGACACGGACCAGACUCCUACGGGAGGCAGCAGUGAGGAAUAUUGGACAAUAGGGCGGAGAGCCUCGAUCCAGCCACUGCCGCCGUGCAGGAAGACGGUCCUACUGGAGUUGUAAACUAGCUUUAUUACAGGAAGAAACACUCCCUCCGUGAGGGAA
rnacentral:rRNA from 1 species